GCGAGUUCGCGGGAGAGUAAGUUAUUGCCAGGGUUUUUAUUUUAUACUUUAAACCUUGAAUUUAUUUUUUAAAUGUUUAUAUUAUUUGAAUAAAACAUUCAAAUAAUAUAAAAAAUAAUAUAUAUAUUGACAUGGAUUAAACAAAGAUAUAUAUUAUUCUAUGUUGUAUGAACAAAUUGGCAAAAUAGAGAUGGAAGAUAAAAAUAUGGUCAAAGUAAUAAGAGUCUAUGGUGAAUGCCUAGGAGCUUAAGGCGAAGAAGGUCGUGGUAAGCUGCGAAAAGCUUGGGGGAGAACCAAACAUUUAUUGAUCCCAAGAUUACC
rnacentral:misc_RNA from 1 species